rnacentral:lncRNA from 1 species
CAUGAAUACAGGUAGAAGGGCACUGGGGGUGGGGGAGGUUUUAGGAAAGCCUUAGCUUUCUUAAAAAAGGGGGAGUGAGUACAACUGAUUGAGCUGGUGUAGCUCUCCUUUUUGAUCUGGACCUGAAUGUGAUGUCUAGAACUGAGCAGCCAUCUUAAGACCAGGAAGUGACCUAGCACGGGCGGGACCAGGGUUCGAUCCUCAGCACCACAUAAAAAUAAAGGCAUUGUGUUGUGUCCAUCUACACCACCCCCCCCAAAAAAAAAGAAAGAAAUCCAGUCCUCUAAAACAUCUGAAAGAUUAGAGAAUCCUGGGGUCCUGGUGGUACCUUUGAGUACCUGAACAGCAGAGCGAUCCCUACCUUCAGACUUCUUGGUAAGAAUGGUGAAUUUUAAUUCUGUUUUGAAAUCAGACCAGAGUUUACAUCCUGACCCCCACCUGCUAGAGGUGUGGCCUUGGCCAACACUUGAGGUUCUCAUCUAUAAACAAGACUUGCAAUACCCACCUCUGAGGUUGCUUGGAUUAGACAUGAAUGGAUACAUCGCCUGUCACGUGGGAGGUGUUCACUGGUGGGCCAGCCUUGUGGGAGGUGUGUAAAUUGCAAGGGUGGGAGUAGUGAGAGGAGAUGGCAGAUGAGGUGAGUGAGUCACAGAGGGUACUGUGUGCUAAGCUAAGGAGGUUACAUUUUUAUCUUGUAGGAAAUGGAGAGCCAGCCAAUAACUUUCCCCACAUUUUUUAUUGGUGCAUCAUAGUUGUAUUUAAUAAUGGAAUCUGUUACACAUCCCUCUCUACACAUGACGUAGUAAUUUGGCCAGUGUCACUCGCUACUUGCCACCCCAGUCCCCAGACUCUACUGAUCUCCCUUUGGUUUUCGUGAGAUCUCUGUCCCCACCUUUCUUUUCCUUUUUCCUCUCUAGCUCCCACAUAGGAGAGAAAACACACGACCGUUAACCCAGCCAAGAAUUCUAAGUCCCGAGGAACUCAUGAGGGGACGUGCAUUUAGGAAGUGUGCUCACGUGGAAGACAAAUUAGAGGGAGUGAAGACAGAAACGGAAAGCCGAUGGGGAGACAGUCUCAACAAUCUGUCACUGUUGUCUCACCCAUACCCCUUCAGCACUUCUUACCCCCUCCCGA